rnacentral:rRNA from 1 species
AUUGAACGCUGGCGGCAUGCUUUACACAUGCAAGUCGAACGGUAACAGGCCGCAAGGUGCUGACGAGUGGCGAACGGGUGAGUAAUGCAUCGGAACGUGCCCAGUCGUGGGGGAUAACUACUCGAAAGAGUAGCUAAUACCGCAUACGAUCUAUGGAUGAAAGCGGGGGACCGUAAGGCCUCGCGCGAUUGGAGCGGCCGAUGUCAGAUUGGGUAGUUGGUGGGGUAAAGGCUCACCAAGCCAACGAUCUGUAGCUGGUCUGAGAGGUCGACCAGCCACACUGGGACUGAGACACGGCCCAGACUCCUACGGGAGGCAGCAGUGGGGAAUUUUGGACAAUGGGCGCAAGCCUGAUCCAGCAAUGCCGCGUGCAGGAAGAAGGCCUUCGGGUUGUAAACUGCUUUUGUACGGAACGAAACGGCUCUGGUUAAUACCCGGGGCUAAUGACGGUACCGUAAGAAUAAGCACCGGCUAACUACGUG